CUUUAGCCCCGACAGCAGCGGCAUCCUUUGCUUUUUUUCUUUAUAAAAGCAAAGAUAUAGCGGAUGGCGGGACGAUGA
rnacentral:sRNA from 1 species